CCCGUGAUAGCUCAGUUGGUAGAGCGGAGGACUGUAGUGGUAUCUAGAUGAAGUCAUCCUUAGGUCGCUGGUUCGAAUCCGGCUCGCGGGA
rnacentral:tRNA from 1 species